rnacentral:rRNA from 1 species
AUUGAACGCUGGCGGCAGGCCUAACACAUGCAAGUCGAGCGGAUGAGUGGAGCUUGCUCCAUGAUUCAGCGGCGGACGGGUGAGUAAUGCCUAGGAAUCUGCCUGGUAGUGGGGGACAACGUUUCGAAAGGAACGCUAAUACCGCAUACGUCCUACGGGAGAAAGCAGGGGACCUUCGGGCCUUGCGCUAUCAGAUGAGCCUAGGUCGGAUUAGCUAGUUGGUGGGGUAAUGGCUCACCAAGGCGACGAUCCGUAACUGGUCUGAGAGGAUGAUCAGUCACACUGGAACUGAGACACGGUCCAGACUCCUACGGGAGGCAGCAGUGGGGAAUAUUGGACAAUGGGCGAAAGCCUGAUCCAGCCAUGCCGCGUGUGUGAAGAAGGUCUUCGGAUUGUAAAGCACUUUAAGUUGGGAGGAAGGGCAGUAAGCUAAUACCUUGCUGUUUUGACGUUACCGACAGAAUAAGCACCGGCUAACUCUGUGCCAGCAGCCGCGGUAACAC